rnacentral:tRNA from 1 species
UCCCUGGUGAUUCAGUGGUAAGGACUCGGCGCUUGCACUGCUGAGGGUCCAGGUGCAAUCCCUAGUCAGGGAA